CCUACGGGAGGCAGCAGUGGGGAAUAUUGCACAAUGGGGGAAACCCUGAUGCAGCGACGCCGCGUGAGUGAAGAAGUAAUUCGUUAUGUAAAGCUCUAUCUGCAGGGAAGAAAAUGACGGUACCUGAGCAAGAAGCCCCGGCUAACUACGUGCCAGCAGCCGUGGUAAUAUGGAGGGGGCAACCGUUAUCCGGAUUUACUGGGGGUAAAGGGGGUGUAGACGGCAGUGCAAGUCUGGAGUGAAAGGCGGGGGCUCAACCCCCGGACUGCUCUGGAAACUGUGCGUCUUGAGUGCAGGAGAGGUACGUGGAAUUCCUGGUGUAGCGGUGAAAUGCAUAGAUAUUACGCAGAACUCCGAUGGCGAAGGCAGCGUACUGGACUGUAACUGACGUUGAGGCACGAAAGCGUGGGUAUCAAACAGGAUUAGAUACCCUUGUAGUC
rnacentral:rRNA from 1 species